rnacentral:rRNA from 1 species
AAAUAGAUACCCGGGUAGUCCACGCCGUAAACGAUGAGUGCUAAGUGUUGGGGGGUUUCCGCCCCUCAGUGCUGCAGCUAACGCAUUAAGCACUCCGCCUGGGGAGUACGGCCGCAAGGCUGAAACUCAAAGGAAUUGACGGGGGCCCGCACAAGCGGUGGAGCAUGUGGUUUAAUUCGAAGCAACGCGAAGAACCUUACCAGGUCUUGACAUCCCGCUGCCCGGUAUAGAGAUAUAUCUUUCCCUUCGGGGACAGCGGUGACAGGUGGUGCAUGGUUGUCGUCAGCUCGUGUCGUGAGAUGUUGGGUUAAGUCCCGCAACGAGCGCAACCCUUGAUCUUAGUUGCCAGCAUUUAGUUGGGCACUCUAAGGUGACUGCCGGUGACAAACCGGAGGAAGGUGGGGAUGACGUCAAAUCAUCAUGCCCCUUAUGACCUGGGCUACACACGUGCUACAAUGGAUGGUACAAAGGGCUGCAAGACCGCGAGGUUUAGCCAAUCCCAUAAAACCAUUCUCAGUUCGGAUUGCAGGCUG